rnacentral:rRNA from 1 species
CCUCGGGGCGCAGCAGUGGGGAAUAUUGCACAAUGGGGGAAACCCUGAUGCAGCGACGCCGCGUGAGUGAAGAAGUAUUUCGGUAUGUAAAGCUCUAUCAGCAGGGAAGAAAAUGACGGUACCUGACUAAGAAGCCCCGGCUAACUACGUGCCAGCAGCCGCGGUAAUACGUAGGGGGCAAGCGUUAUCCGGAUUUACUGGGUGUAAAGGGAGCGUAGACGGCGCGGCAAGUCUGAAGUGAAAGGCAGGGGCUUAACCCCUGAACUGCUUUGGAAACUGCCAUGCUAGAGUGCUGGAGAGGUAAG